UCUUUCUAGAUACACUUUCCAGUACAUCUACUUUGUUACGACUUAUUUCAUUUUAAAAUGAAAGCGACGGGCGAUAUGUACAUAUUCUAGAGCUAAAAUCAUUUUAAAUAAAUUUAUUAAAAUUACAUUCAAAUCCAAAUUAAAAUUUUUAUAAUAAAAAUUAUCCUUAAAUAAAUUUAAUGUAACCCAUCUCUACUUUAAUAUAAACUACACCUUGAUCUGAUUUAUUUUUUAAUAAAAAAUUCUGAACAUUUAUAUCCUAAUAAAAUAUUCAAACUACGACGAUAUGUAAAUUAAUAAUUAAAGUAAAUAUUAUCGUGGACUAUCAAUCACAGGACAGGUUCCUCUGAAAAGACUAAAAUACCGCCAAAUUUU
rnacentral:rRNA from 1 species